AACAUUUUUAUACGCUGAAUGCUGAUUUUUACUAUAUAUGUUAUCAUCUUUUCAUACUGUUCAGAUUGUUAGUUUCUAUUGUAUGCAUUUUUGUUUGACUACUGGGAUGAUCACUGUCCCAAUUAUAAACUGUCAUCAAUAGGGAAGUUAAAUUUUAGUCUUGCACUCGGGGUUUUAAAUAAUGGGUAAUGCAUAGUGUUUUGGUUGUUUUGGUGUGUGUGUGUGUGUGUGUG
rnacentral:misc_RNA from 1 species